rnacentral:rRNA from 1 species
AGCGUGGGGAGCAACAGGAUUAGAUACCCUGGUAGUCCACGCCGUAAACGAUGAGUGCUAGAUAUCGGAAGAUUCUCUUUCGGUUUCGCAGCUAACGCAUUAAGCACUCCGCCUGGGGAGUACGGUCGCAAGAUUAAAACUCAAAGGAAUUGACGGGGGCUCGCACAAGCGGUGGAGCAUGCGGUUUAAUUCGAUGUUACGCGAAAAACCUUACCAACCCUUGACAUGGUGGUCGCGGAUCGCAGAGAUGCUUUUCUUCAGCUCGGCUGGACCACACACAGGUGUUGCAUGGCUGUCGUCAGCUCGUGUCGUGAGAUGUUGGGUUAAGUCCCGCAACGAGCGCAACCCUCAUUCUUAUUUGCCAGCGGGCGG